rnacentral:rRNA from 1 species
UACUAGCGGUCCAAGUCGCAGCCACAAUUAUUGGGUCUAAAACAUCCGUAGCUUGCUUAAUAAGUUUCUUGUGAAAUCUCACGUCUUAAGCGUGAGGCGCGCAGGAAGUACUAUUGAGCUAGAGACUGGAAGACGUAGGAAGUACGUUCAAAGUAACGGUAAAAUGUUCUAAUCUUGGACGGACUCACAAUAGCGAAGGCAUCCUACGAGGACAGUUCUGACAGUAAGGGAUGAAAGCUAGGGGCGCAAAACAGAUUAGAUACCUGUGUAGUCCUAGCAGUAAACACUGCACACUAAACAUUAGUACCUCCUCGAGAGGUAUUAGUGCUGAAGGGAAGCCGAAGAGUGUGCUACCUGGGAAGUAUAGUCGCAAGGCCGAAACUUAAAGGAAUUGGCGGGGAGACACUACAACGGGUGACGCGUACGGUUCAAUUAGAUUAUACACCGUGAACCUCACCAGGAGCGACAGCAGGAUGAAGGUCAGUCUGAAGGGCUUACCUGACACGCUGAGAGGAGUUGCAUGGCCGACGUCAGCCUGUGCCGUGAGGUGACCUGUUAAAUCAGGUAACAGGCAAGACCCACAUACAUAUUUACUACGUGUACAAUAUGUAGAUUGCCUUGGUAACGAGGAUGAAAGUGUGGGCUACGUUAGGUGAGUACAGCCCGAAUCCCCUGGGCAACACGUGCGCGUCAAUGGUGGAUACAACGGGAUGCGACUCUGAAAAGAGAAGCAAAUCUCUUAAAGUUCAUCUCAGUCCAGAUUGAGGUUUGUAACUCAGCCUCAUGACGCUGGAAUCCGUAGUAAUCGUUUGUUAUCAGCGAACGGUGAAUACGUCACUGUCUCU